ACUCGCUCCUUCCUUUUUAAGUUCCAACUUCCUAAUCCCUCCAAUUAUCUGCCAUAUCUGAUUACGAUUUCUAUGUUUGCAGUGAUUGCAUUCAGGUUCAUGCAGCACAGAGACGACAAACCCAUUUUGCAUUUUCUUCUCUUCGUGCUUAUGCUUAAACGAGUUCCUCUUUUUGAACCAAAAAAUACAGUAAUUCACAGUGAGAGAGAGAGGAUUGCCUGGAAAUCAAAGACCAUGGAAGAUUCAAGUGACUCACAUUCUGAAGAGACAGAAAUUUCUCCGAAGAAAAAUAAUAAGAAAAGAACGCUCAAGACACCAGCCCAAGUCAUGGCUUUGGAGAAGUGUUAUAAUGAGCACAAAUAUCCUGAAGAAGAAAUGACAUCAUGGCUUUCACAACAGAUCGGAUUGACACAAAAGCAGGUAUCUGGUCGGUUUUGCCAUAGAAGAUCGAAAGAUCGAAGAUUGGGCGAUGAUGCAUAUGCUAAUAGACGACAAGAUCAUUCAACUGGACAAGAUCGUGGAAGUGGAAUGCAGCAAGAUUCACUUGGCAGCACUAAACAAGGAGAUUGUAGGAGCAUUGAUCCAAAGGAAGCUGAAAGUCUCUUCAACCAUGAUUGUCCAAUUGCUAACGACAUAUACAAAUGCACUUGUCAUUAUUCUGGAAAAGCUAUUGCUGCAGAUACUACAUCAUCUGAAAGUGCAUCCUCGCAAUACAUGUUUUCUUCUCGACGCAGAUACAUGUAUGACAGGGAAACUUCUGGAUAUCAGAAGCAGAAAGUAGCAGUCACGGAGAAAAAUCUCAAGGAAGCCAAAGGAUAUAAGCCGUCUGGAUAUUUGAAAGUAAUGAGUAAACUUGACAAUGCUGCAAUAAUUGAUGUUAUGAGGCGAAUGGGGAGGCAUUAUAGAGAGGACGGUCCACCACUUGGUGUGGAUUUCCAGCCACUUCCUCCAGGUGCAUUUGAGCUCCAUUGUAUGGAACUAAUCCAUGGACCUUUCUUUGAUAGGGAUCCUGUUCAUGUUCAUUCCAAAGAUGUUGUAGGAUUUCAGAGACGCCCUAGUCUUGGCACCGUUGUAAAAUCGCACCGCCUAUUCAAACAAAAUCCUAGUUCUUACAGCUAUUCCAAUUCUAUCUCUGGUCAUAAUACUUCUGUGGACAUGUAUGAAGAUUCUGCUAGAGAAAUGUCCCUUUAUAGUAGUAGCAGCAACAAUAGGGCAAACUCUGAGUAUGAUCUCGAAGGGAUGAGAUCAGACUCUGCUCCUAACCAUCUUCAUCUCCACUACGACAAACUAAAAAGUGAGCAAACAGCACCAUGGUUUCAUGACUACAAUAUUGUCGGCCCUAAGGUGGUCCAAAGGGAUGAAUCUUUGUCAAUACCUUCAAAUAUGAAACUUGGGGGACGUAAUUUCCUCAGUACAGAGGGUAGAGGACUACCUACAAGGACGAUGAAGUAUGUAAAGUGUCUCUUUGCAGGAGGAGAAGCUUUAUGUAGAGAGGAAGACAGUGAAAAAGUAUCGUAAUCCAUUUAUUCGAAAAAUGAAUCCGGAAAAUGAAAUGAAAGUUGGACAACAAGUUGAAGCUAAGUUUCCACACAAAGAUAAUGCGGCAAAAACAUCAAACUAUUGAUUUGGCAAGAUCUGCCAUGGAGAACCCCUCAAGCUUCAAUUAUUAUCUAACCACAUAAACCAGCAUUUCCUCAGAUCAACUAUGUGCUGGUUAAUGAAUUGCAGAAAGUACAAGUUCCAUACAUGCGAGAUUGUACAGGCGAAUGUAGAAUUCCACAACACAGGAAUGGUGAGGACUUAUUCACAACCGAGGUAGGAAAACUAGUACUGGGAAUCAAAAACUUCAUUAGUUUGUUUUGGCAAGUAGUUUGGACCUUUGCAUCUCAUGUGGUUGAAGAAUCUUUCUUUAUUCUUUCCAAAAUAAGAACUUUCAUUUCUGGUUUAUAUGUUUAUGUCAUCAGCCAUGGCUGAUUGGUAGUACAACUAUUUAGCAAUAGCUGAUCAAGAUAUGAAAAUGUGUCAUGCUGCAGGACUUUCUUCAUCUUCAGCUAUUUACAAUUUAAUUUAUUGCUGAACUAUUUUCUUCUAGUUUUAUGUGCUUUGU